UAGGAAGCACAGAGCAAAACUCAGGGUCAUGGCUUUCCCCUAAUAUGGUUGUGAAAUCACUUGAAGCCUUCAUUCUUCAUGCAGCCAGCAUAAAUAACCAAAUGCUAUCAACACACACAUACUCUCUCAUUAUUCCAGCCCUCUCUCACAGACUUCAGGACAUUACAAAUAUCCCUCGAUCACUGCUCUGCCCUCAGAUCUAUGCAGAGGCAUUUCAUGGCCGCUAAACUAAAAGGUAAAAGAGCAGAGAUUCCUCAUUUAUUUUCUCCUCUUCCACAACAGGCUCUUUCACCUUACAAUCUGACAAGCAGGAGGCCUCACAUCAGCCACCAUGACCGACUGGCAAGUCUGUUUCCUGCCGAUUGACCUGGGAAGCUUCUGGGUGAGGAUCUAUGAUGGGUUAGACAUUCCUGUGAGUGGGGACAGCACCACGGCAAAGAUUGGCAGCCAGGUUGCAAGUUCUGAUUUAAACAUGUGUCACACAAGGCAUUUGGAAGUUCUUCUACUCAUUCUGCCAACAAAAUUGUCCCCGGAGAAGAGAUCAACAGAUCAUCCACUUGU